AGCCAGGCAGGAGCACGUGAUUUGCCGGUGACUGGUGUACCCGGACCCCGGGCACAGUCUGUCGGCUCCGGUCUGCCGCGUUCCGGGGGAAAGUGCCGGGGCCACUGCCGGAAGGGAUCUUAGGAGGGAUCACAGGACGACUCCUGAAGAGCUGCCAUGUCUGGGAAUUUUGCAUCUUCCUCAGAGCAGAACAACAGCUGUGAAACAAAAACCUCAAACCUUCGAAUAUCAGAGAAGAAAUGUUCGUGGGCAUCCUACAUGACCAACUCCCCGACUCUCAUUGUUAUGAUUGGCUUGCCAGCCCGGGGAAAAACCUACGUGUCCAAGAAACUCACGCGUUACCUCAACUGGAUUGGGGUACCCACCAAAGUGUUUAACCUUGGGGUGUAUCGGCGCAAAGCAGUCAAGUCCUAUAAGUCCUACGACUUCUUCCGGCACGACAAUGAGGAGGCCAUGAAGAUCCGCAAGCAGUGUGCUUUGGUGGCACUGGAAGACGUUAAGGCGUAUCUCACUGAGGAGAACGGGCAGAUUGCGGUGUUUGAUGCCACCAAUACCACUAGGGAGAGGAGGGACAUGAUUUUGAAUUUUGCCAAGGAGAAUUCCUUCAAGGUAUUCUUCGUGGAAUCUGUCUGUGAUGAUCCUGAUGUCAUCGCUGCCAACAUCUUGGAGGUAAAGGUGUCGAGCCCUGACUACCCUGAAAGGAACAGGGAGAAUGUGAUGGAGGAUUUCCUGAAGAGAAUUGAGUGCUACAAAGUCACCUAUCGACCCCUCGAUCCAGACAACUAUGACAAGGAUCUCUCUUUCAUCAAGGUGAUCAACGUGGGCCAGCGGUUUUUGGUGAACAGAGUCCAGGACUACAUCCAGAGCAAGAUCGUCUACUACCUCAUGAACAUCCACGUGCAGCCCCGCACCAUCUACCUCUGCCGGCACGGGGAGAGCGAGUUCAACCUCCUGGGCAAGAUCGGGGGGGACUCUGGCCUCUCGGUGCGCGGAAAGCAGUUUGCCCAGGCUCUCAGGAAGUUUCUGGAGGAACAGGAGAUAGCAGACCUCAAAGUGUGGACGAGCCAGUUGAAGAGGACUAUCCAGACUGCUGAAUCCCUGGGGGUGACUUAUGAGCAGUGGAAGAUCCUGAAUGAGAUUGACGCUGGCGUGUGCGAGGAGAUGACCUAUGCAGAGAUUGAGAAGCAGUACCCGGACGAGUUUGCACUUCGAGAUCAAGAGAAAUAUCUGUAUCGAUAUCCUGGCGGGGAGUCAUACCAGGACCUGGUGCAGCGGCUGGAGCCUGUCAUCAUGGAGCUGGAGCGGCAGGGCAAUGUCCUCGUUAUCUCCCACCAGGCUGUCAUGCGCUGCCUCCUGGCCUACUUCUUGGAUAAGGGCGCAGAUGAGCUACCGUACUUGAGGUGCCCUCUCCAUACCAUCUUCAAACUUACUCCCGUCGCCUACGGGUGCAAAGUGGAAACAAUUAAACUCAAUGUGGAGGCUGUGGACACUCACCGUGACAAGCCAGCUAACAACUUCCCCAAGAACCAAACCCCUGUAAGGAUGAGAAGGAACAGCUUUACGCCUCUGUCCAGUUCGGAUACAAUAAGGCGUCCAAGAAAUUACAGUGUUGGGAGCCGGCCCCUCCAGCCCCUCAGCCCUCUCCGUGCCCUGGACAUGCAAGAAGGGGCCGACCAGCCGAAGAUCCAAGUCAGCGUUCCGGUGGUGUAACCGUGUGUUUCCCUCCAGCCUUAGCCUCCUGCCCGUGUCACUAAUCACCAGGGAAUCAUUUAACUUCCAACACCCACCCCCGACACCCCGCCAUGGAUCUUAACACAGAACACGAGGUCGUGUGUUUCCAGACCACCCCUAGCUGCUCUGCAGUGUGAAACAUCUCCUCGCCAGGGGCAAGUGGACGAGUCGGGUGUUUUGGGACAGGUCCUCAGUUAGGGUGGUCUGGAGGAGGAGGGAAAGGGAUGCACUCCCCUGGGGUGAUUGGCAUAGCUGGGGCUGAGGCUAAGCAUGCCCCGUACAUUUGGUUCUUGUCCAUCCCGGGUGUCUAAAACCCACUAAUGUCCUUGUGUUGGUAAAAAGUGGGGGGCGGGGUGGAGGGGCACACACAGAAGCCCUUUUUCCAUUCACCUCUGUCUCUCCAAGCUCACAGUCCCUACUUCCCUGCUUUCUCCCCUCUCUUUCAUCUCCCCUUUGGAUUGUCCGGCGUGGUGCGUGGCGUUAUCAUUGUGGUGUCUGUUGGAGGGGAGGGGCAGUUGGCGAGAGAAAAGGCUGGGUUCUGUAGAUGCUCUCUGAAAUGGGCCUAAAUGGAUCUGGACCCGGGCAGCCUUUCUUUUCCUUUCUCCCUUCCUCUCAAGCCAGGUCGUACAAGGGUCAGCUCAGGCUACAGAACAUUCACAGAGGCUCUGGAGGCUGCUGGUGUAUAUGGGGUGAGAGUUCUUGCCUCCUUUCGUGAGAAACAGUCCUGUCUUCGCUGCCCUGGGGGAAGCUGGCUCACAGUCUGCAGGAAAUAUCUUGGUUCAUAUUUUUCAUGUAAGAGCCAGUCAUAGGUCUUGUGGCGGCUGUGGAGUGAGCUUUGGGAGGGUGGGGUGGUCCCUCACUCCUGCAGGGCUCUUGUAGGACAGUCAUAUCUUCUCUCCAGUGGCUCCCAGCUUCUUUGCCAACCCAGCAAUUUUCCUGUGACAGCCAGUGACCUCUGGGGCUGUUUAGAAGGACAGAGUUUGAUUCAGGAGUCACCACUGGUGUUUGAAUGGCUCAAGGCAAAAGGCAGAGAAGAGUGCACUCGAGCUACUUUUUAUUUCCCAGUAUUUUCAACACACUUUCCUUUUUAAGUUAAAAAAAUUAUUUGCAUGACCAGUUUUUUUUCUAAAUAUGGAAAAGCCUGGUGAUGACUUUAACCUUCCUCACCGGAGGAUUCUUUUUUCUCAUCUUGGUGUCCAUCGGAGUCUUUGGCACCCUGUGGGGUCCACCUCUUGACUGUGUGUAUUUACCUAUUCACCUCUGUCCUUUUGUUUUCUCUGUAGGGUUAAACGGAAAUGUUGAGAGCCAGAAUGCUUAGCCCCUUGGUGCCCCAUGAUGGCAUCCCCUCCCCCUCCAAUUUUGCAAAGGCCGUGCUGGCUGUGCACAGGCCCUCCUCGGCAGCAUCCCUCACAUCGCUCUGCUGAUGAUGUGGAGGCUGGGGCCAGACCUCUCCGGGGCACUGGGAUCUGCUGAAAAGCUUGGGAUGUCAGCUCCACGGGGGCGUGAACAGGAAGUUAAAUGAGGAUUGGAUAUUUGGAACCACCAAAAUGAGGCCUGGAAAAGCAUCACCGCAUUUCUUCCCCUCAUGCCUAAUGGAAAUAUUAGUUACACUGACAAACUUAACUUCUCUGUGCCUCAAAACGUUUAAUGGCCAGAACUGAUGAGUUUUUAUUAUCCCUUUGCCGGGUUUGGCCCAGGUUGGCCAAUCGUGUUCUGUUUUGGCGUUUAGUGUCCUCCCUGUGACUAGCCCUGGCUGGCUGUUCUUUGGCUAAAGUGCAGACGCACCUCCUCAGAUUUAAUUGUUUCUGAUGGGAGGGCUGAACCCCAGCAAGCUUUUGCUGUGCCAGGAGAGCCGGGCUCCGCAUCCAUUCCGGGGGCGCAGGCUAAAGGACAAUAUACAUACAUUAGCAGUCACUUUUUUGUCACGUUGGAAAGGAGACAGAUUGACCAGGUGAAUGGAGGGACCUGAGAACGUCAGUCCCUAAAGCGUCUCUUCUGCUGUGAGAGAGGAGCAGUGUCAGCGGCAGCCUUUCGUUUAGAGAAGUUCUUGUUGCCGGCCCCUCGAGGGCAGGAGCUGACCGCAAGACUGCCCAGAGUGCGUGCCCGUCUUCUAAGUCCUCUUUUGCCGCUGCUGUAUUUUCUGUCUCAUCUGUGUGCCUCUCAUGGCUGAAGAGGGCUAAAGUUGUUCUCUCCACGGGUUGGGAAUGAGGGCUGGAGGGAAAGUAGUGUGCCUUUUACAUCACAUGAAGAAGGAAAGAAGGUUCUCUGGGAAUCGACUCUUCCAGGGAGUUCUUUUGGCUUCAAAACAGAUACAAGGAGACACAUGCUUCUGUAGGGUCUGUCACCAUGUGUGGUCUCUAAGAAAGCUGUGGCUGUGACUCCAAGAGCAACUGGUCUCUCAUGCCUGCCUCUUAGCUAGUGUCCCUGUUGUGGUCUACUGAUCCCUCAUGUGAAACACUUGGGGAGCUGGAGGGAACCAAGCCCGCAGUGCGUUAGUUUUUUGGUUUCCCUUAGAGAGAAGCUAGGUGACUAUGUCUCUGUGGAUGUGAUUUUACUAUGUCACUAGUCCUGGAGGAGGGCAUGGAAGCUCCAAAGGAUGCUACAUCAUACAAGCAAAAUCUUUUUUUUUAUAGUAAGUUUUUAGCUUUAAAAUUUUUUUCCCCUUUCACCCCAGUGCCCACUUGCUGAGCAAGAGGGUGAGCAGCAAGCAAAGUAAUGAAAUGCAGCUUUUCUCAAAUGGUUCUUUUAUACUGUGUUUGAUACAGAGCUCUGCUGCCUAAGAUGUGAUGAGCUGGGCUGCAGGCAGUUCAGCAUCCAGCAGCUGGGAGCUUAUUUUAUGCCCACAAAGCUGCCUUCAGAAAGGCUCGUGAGUGCUCCCAGCAGGGGUUUGCAUCUGGCUGCCUGUGGCAAGCUGGACUGUAAUGAUUUCAUUCUUGUGGUGCAGGCUUCUUUCUGCAUCUAAAUACAGUCUUUGGAUGAUCAGAAAGUGCUUCUAUUUAGUUAUUUAUUCAACCAUGUAAGGUAUUUUCAAGUCCCCAUUAGUGUUUGCAUGUAUUUAAUCAGAAUGUAAGGUAAUCUGUGUUGUCCGUCUGGUAGGAAUUUAGGUGGUUUGAGCUUUUAAGUUUAAUGUCCAUAGUAUGGCCUUAAGUUAAAUUUCCAGAAUAUAGGUAUCUGUCUUCUGUAAAAGGAUAAUAGCUAUGUUAAGGCACAGUGGAUUUCUUUUGAAAACUUUUUUUCUCAUUGAUUUUUAUUAUAAGUUUAAAUCAAGACAUACAUUUCCCUGGAGAAAAGUUUAUCUCCUGGAUAAAUAAAAUCAUGCUAAAUCA